rnacentral:rRNA from 1 species
UUUCCGUAGGUGAACCUGCGGAAGGAUCAUUGUCGAUACCUACAAAGCAGACCGCGAACAUGUGGAACUGCGGCGGCAACGUCGCAUUCCACUCCCGCAUGCGGGCAUCUAGGUGCGCGUGGUGCGGGCUAACAAACCCCGGCGCGGCACGCGCCAAGGAAAACUCACAGUGGCGUCCGCCUCCCCCGCCCCGUUCGCGGUGAGCGAGGGUGGACGGAUGUCUCUCGAAUGUCAAAACGACUCUCGGCAACGGAUAUCUCGGCUCUCGCAUCGAUGAAGAACGUAGCGAAAUGCGAUACCUGGUGUGAAUUGCAGAAUCCAAACGACCGUGAACCAUCGAGUCUUUGAACGCAAGUUGCGCCUGAAGCCUUUCGGCCAAGGGCACGUCUGCCUGGGCGUCACACAUCGCGUCCCCCUGCCUCCCGUCCCCACAAGGCGUGUUGGUAGGGGCGGACAAUGGCCUCCCGUGCGCAAUGUCGUGCGGCUGGUCCAAAUGCGAACCCGCGGCGACCCCCGUCUCGACCAGUGGUGGUUGAACCUUCAACUCUUGCCUGUCGUGUCGGAUGGUGUCGCGUGACGGGCUACUGCAGACCCAAUGGCACGAGAUGCUCGUGCUUCGACUGCGACCCCAGGUCAGGCGGACAGCC